rnacentral:rRNA from 1 species
GAUGAACGCUGGCGGCGUGCCUAAUACAUGCAAGUCGAGCGAACGGACGAGAAGCUUGCUUCUCUGAUGUUAGCGGCGGACGGGUGAGUAACACGUGGAUAACCUACCUAUAAGACUGGGAUAACUUCGGGAAACCGUAGCUAAUACCGGAUAAUAUUUUGAACCGCAUGGUUCAAAAGUGAAAGACGGUCUUGCCGUCACUUAUAGAUGGAUCCGCGCUGCAUUAGCUAGUUGGUAAGGUAACGGCUUACCAAGGCAACGAUGCAUAGCCGACCUGAGAGGGUGAUCGGCCACACUGGAACUGAGACACGGUCCAGACUCCUACGGGAGGCAGCAGUAGGGAAUCUUCCGCAAUGGGCGAAAGCCUGACGGAGCAACGCCGCGUGAGUGAUGAAGGUCUUCGGAUCGUAAAACUCUGUUAUUAGGGAAGAACAUAUGUGUAAGUAACUGUGCACAUCUUGACGGUACCUAAUCAGAAAGCCACGGCUAACCACGUG